AAAGCCCCAAGUACUUUU
rnacentral:miRNA from 1 species